UUUCUGGGUUUUAUUUUAGUUCAUCUUUUCUUCUAUCAUAGCUAGAGUGUGCUUAUUUUGAGUUUUGAUUCUAUUUAUUUUUAUUCUGUUUUGAAAGUUUCUACUUCAGUGUUUAUUAUAUUCUUUCUCUUGCUAGCUUUAGAUUUAGUUUGUUCUGUUUCUUUAAGGUAUGAAGUUAUGUUAUUGAUUUGAGAUUUUUUUUUCCUUGCAAUAUCUUUCCAUGUUGCCCAGGCUGGUCUUUACUCCCGAGGCUCAGAUGAUCUUCGUUUCAGCCUCUUAGAUAGCUUGGUCCAAAGGCGUGGGCCACUGUGAGGUAUCUUUAAAGGAGCCAUUGACAGCCUCCCCCAGUAGUUCCAACCACAGAUUUAUGCCAUGGAGCCCAACUUCUCUCCCCCUUUAAAUUAAUUUUAAUGUACAUGUUUCCCUUUCAGUAUUUUAAAUACAUCACCUCACAGGACCCUCUGUGUGUGAUGUGGGCUUCUCUCUGUGUGCAGAUUUUGCAUUUAUCUCUGGAGCUUAAUGAAACUUUUGGGUAUCUUUAGACAAUUUAAAAGUUCCCAGCCAUAUGUCAGGAAUUCUUUCUGCCUUCCUCCGUUUUUCUUUCCAUUUGGCACUCUUAGGAUGAACACACAUACGUUCUUGCAGGCUCCUUCCUUUUUCUUCUUUUCAUAUUUUCCAUGUGCAGCCUCUUUUUGUAGCUUUGUAAGUGAGUGUAUGCUUGCACAGGUGCUCUGCCACUGUACUGCACCCUCAGCCAGUGUUUCCAUAGAGAUUUCCUUGAAUUCUAUAAACCUAAAUAAAGGAAAAAAUAAAAAAAAGAGAAAUAGAAUAAAAAAGAAAUAAAGAAUUUUGUCUUUAUAGAUUGUCUCUGCGGUUCUUUUAUUGCUUAGCUUGGCUAAGCGCUCUACUCUAAUGUUUUGUUUGCUUCUCUGCCUGUGCUUAGCUCCUUAUCAGUCAGAAGUGAGAGCAUUCUUGAGUCUUUCAAAGGGCUGAUGUGCCUUUAGCAAGCAUGAUACUUUCUAAGUUCUAAAGUGCGGGCAGUGCUUGAGAAGCCCUUUUUUUCCCGGGCAAGGUAUUGCCCAGCCUUUGCUGCUUUGUAAGCUUGUGCCCAGUCUUCCUUUUCUUAAAAACAUAUUUGGGAGGAAUUUCCCAUUUUUCUGUUUGAGUGACUUCUGCAUUAGGUGAAACAAACCCGAACCAUUAUUUAGUUUUUCAGAUAGGUCCCAGAAGGUCAGAACAAACAAGCUCUUCUGUUCUGCUCUUUCGGUACUAGGGGUCAGCAUCCCACCUAACACUCAGUAAGGUUGGUAGAUUGGGAGGGAGUGUAUGCAUGCUAAGAAGCUAUCCUCCUGUUUUGUGUAGCCCUAGUUGUUUAUAUAUAUAUUUCAUUAUUUGGUUGCUUUAAAGCUUUAUCUUCCAGAGUUCUGGAUUUGAUUUGGCCAGUUUAAUUUGACAUUUUGAAGUUACUGAGGAAGGUCUGACUCUUGGUGCUGCUUCCUGUAUUUCUUGCUGCUGUUCUGGAAACUGGGGUUCAGUUUUUAAAUAAAAAAAAAAAAAGAUUUAUUUACUUAUUUUAUAUAUGUGAGUACAUUGUCGCUCUCUUCAGAUACACCAGAAGAGGGCAUCAGAUCCCAUUUCAGAUGGUUGUGAGCCACUGUGUGGUUGCUGGGAAUUGAACUCAGGACCUGUGGAAGAGCAGUCAGUGCUUUUAACCGCUGAGCCAUCUCUCUAGCUUGGGGUUCAGUUUUUAAUAUGUUGACCUGAAGUACUCUGGUGGCUCUGAAUUUUCUAACAAUACUUUUAUCUAUCCCCCCCCCCCCCCAGGGGAGGAAAUCAGAGCUGUAGACAAAGUCUGGAAAAAAAUUCAAGGAGUUUAAAUUGAUACUGUGAGAGUCCUAGAAACUCUACCAUUGAUUCCACCAUGGAGGUGAAGGGCUAAUAGUCAUGCAAUACAAACUGAAAGCCCAUGGCAGAGUGAAAGCUAGAAAGUAGAGUGUCGGACAGUAGAGGGUGGUUUUGGUCAUUGUGAAGUACAUCAGGCAGCCACUGUGAGAAGGAGAUGAACCAUGCGCUCCUUCCUUAUCCUAAGCUGUUUCUGUAGAAUAUGAAAUUUGAAUGAGAGGAGGAAAGGAAUUGGUAACGACUUGCAGGUGACUUAGAAUGAAACCUUUUUCUUCCUUAUGUUGAUUGGGACAUCAUGUUUGUGAUCAGAGAAGACCUGUGAGAGAACAGAGUAGAUGGCAAAAGAUGUGUCAGAGGAAGGUGGAAGGCUAGAAUUUGGAUCAUAGAAGAGAUAGAUGCUGGGCAUAAUUUUUAAAGGAAUUUACAAACAACAUGUAAGUCAGGUAUACCUUUAGUCCCAGCACUUUGGAGGCUGAGACAGGCAGAUUCUCUUGUGAGGUUGAAGCCAGCCUGGUCUUUGUAGAGAGUUCCAGGACAGCCAGGGCUACCUAGAGUCACCUGUCUCAA
rnacentral:lncRNA from 1 species